rnacentral:rRNA from 1 species
UACGGAGGGGACUAGCGUUGUUCGGAAUUACUGGGCGUAAAGCGCACGUAGGCGGAUUUGUAAGUCAGGGGUGAAAUCCCGGGGCUCAACCUCGGAACUGCCUUUGAUACUGCAAAUCUCGAGUCCGGAAGAGGUGAGUGGAAUUCCUAGUGUAGAGGUGAAAUUCGUAGAUAUUAGGAAGAACACCAGUGGCGAAGGCGGCUCACUGGUCCGGUACUGGA